AAUGAACGUUGACGGCGUGGAUUAGGCAUGCAAGUCGUACGAUAACCCCGCAAGGGGGGAAAGCGGCGAAAGGGAGAGUAACGCGUGGGUACCUGCCCCUUGGUCCGGAAUAGCUGCGGGAAACUGCAGGUAAUGCCGGAUAAUAUCCUCGGAUCAAAGGUGUGAUUCCGCCGAGGGAGGGGCCCGCGUUCUAUUAGCUAGUUGGUAGGGUAAUGGCCUACCAAGGCGACGAUGGAUACCGGGUGUGAGAGCAUGACCCGGCUCACUGGGACUGAGACACUGCCCAGACACCUACGGGUGGCUGCAGUCGAGAAUCUUCGGCAAUGGGCGCAAGCCUGACCGAGCGACGCCGCGUGCGGGAUGAAGGCCUUCGGGUUGUAAACCGCUGUCGUAGAGGAGGAAAUGCCAUGGGGUUCUCUCCAUGGUUUGACCUAUUCUAGGAGGAAGGACGGGCUAAGUUCGUGCCAGCAGCCGCCGUAA
rnacentral:rRNA from 1 species